AAUGAACGUUGGCGGCGUGGAUUAGGCAUGCAAGUCGUGCGGAAAGGCUCCUUCGGGAGUACUCGAGCGGCGAAAGGGAGAGUAACGCAUGGAUAUCUACCCCCUGGACUGGGAUAGCGGCGGGAAACUGCCGGUAAUACCAGAUAACGUCUGCGGACCAAAGGUGUGAUUCCGCCGGGGGAUGAGUCCGCGUCCUAUUAGCUAGUUGGGGGGGUAAUGGCCUACCAAGGCAAAGAUGGGUACCGGGUGUGAGAGCAUGGCCCGGCUCACUGGGACUGAGAGACUGCCCAGCCACCUACGGGUGGCUGCAGUGGAGAAUCUUCGGGAAUGGGCGCAAGCCUGACCGAGCGACGCCGCGUGCGGGAUGAAGGCCUUCGGGUUGUAAACCGCUGUCAGAGGGGAGGAAAUGCAUGGGGGUUCUCCCUCAUGUUUGACCUAUCCUCAGAGGAAGUACGGGCUAAGUUCGUGCCAGCAGCCGCCGUAACAC
rnacentral:rRNA from 1 species